CACAUUCUCCUGACUGCAGAAGAACAUUCAGCACAAAUGAGGACCUCCGUCAUUCCCUUACUUCUGCUUACUUCUAAUUAGUUCCCGGAAGAAUGUUUGCCAGUUCUUUAAAGUCACUCCACUUCGCAUAACCCGGUGACAUGACGUACACAACUAUUGUGAAUUAGUUGAUUUAAAGGACGGGCCAGCUAUAGCCUGAAGAUGUUUCACAGCAGGGUUUGCAUUCUCCGUCUUGUU